rnacentral:snRNA from 1 species
GUACUUGCUUCGGCAGCACAAACACUAAAACUGGAACAACGCAGAGAAGAUUAGCAUGGCCCCAGUGUAAGGAUGACAUGCAAACUUGUGAAGCAUUCUAUAUUUAA